GAUGAACGCUGGCGGCGUGCUUAACACAUGCAAGUCGAACGAAGCACUUUGAUUUCUUCGGACUGAUGAGUGACUGAGUGGCGGACGGGUGAGUAACGCGUGGGUAACCUGCCUCACACAGGGGGAUAACAGUUAGAAAUGACUGCUAAUACCGCAUAAGACCACAGUACCGCAUGGUACAGUGAUAAGAACUCCGGUGGUGUGAGAUGGACCCGCGUCUGAUUAGCUAGUUGGUGAGGUAACGGCCCACCAAGGCGACGAUCAGUAGCCGACCUGAGAGGGUGACCGGCCACAUUGGGACUGAGACACGGCCCAAACUCCUACGGGAGGCAGCAGUGGGGAAUAUUGCACAAUGGGCGAAAGCCUGAUGCAGCGACGCCGCGUGAAGGAUGAAGUAUUUCGGUAUGUAAAGUUCUAUCAGCAGGGAAGAAAAUGACGGUACCUGACUAAGAAGCACCGGCUAAAUACGUGCCAGCAGCCGCGGUAAGAC
rnacentral:rRNA from 1 species